rnacentral:tRNA from 1 species
AAGGGUAUAGUUCAGCGGUAGAAGGCAUGCUUAGCAUGCAUGAGGUCCUGGGUUCAAUCUCCAGUAUCUCCG